ACAAAUUAACAUGAAUACUUAUUAAUAAUUAUCAGACCAGAAUAUUGACGGCAUAUCACAGUGGGAGGCAAUAAGUACCGGGUCUGAGGGUAAGCGGACGGAAUUUAUCUACAACCUUGAUGACGUAGUUCCUGCAACCCAAGGGCACGCUGGGAUAAGAAUUGGCGAUUACAAAUUAUUGGCGGGAAACACCGGACUAUACAAUGGCUGGUACCCACCAGAUGAAAUGUACACAGAGGAGGCGAUGGAGGAUAAAUAUAGUUUUGAAGAAAGAUUGAAAGCCGGGAACGAAUCUUAUUACAAAUUAUUUAACUUAAAAGACAACCCUAAUGAGUAUAACGACCUUGCAGACGACAUGCCGGAAAUGGUUCAGAAACUUCUGACACGCAUAAAUGAAUACAAACAACACAUGAUACCAGCUAAAUAUCCAAAAUCAAACCCGUCCGCAAAUCCUAAAUAUUUUGGCAACGCUUGGACACCGGGCUGGUGUAAGAAGCCAAUGGAAUGAUAAUUACUUUCAUCAUAAAGAUCUACUGAAUCUUUCCAUUUCUUUUUAUACAGUUUUUAUAAUUUAAUAUCCUAUUAAAAUGUUAAUUUUAAGAUAUAUUUCCUCAUCUCAUAGUGAGAUUAAUAUUCUAUUAUUAAAGGAGCUCCACUGAGGUCAAAAAGCUUAAAUUUGAAAUUAUUGCAUAGAUCAUAGUAAGUCUUUAAAAUGGAAAACUGUGCAGAGGAUAAAAAAGAAAAAUACUCAGAAUAAACUUAAAUUUCGAUGAUUAUUUUUGCGAAUAUAAGCCCGAUUUGAGUAAAAAGCGUUCUUUAUUUUUAUUUAAAAACGAUUAUUUUGGAAAAACGGUGUGAGGGAAUGAUCUGAAAAUUGCAAAAAUAUUUAGUAAAACUUGAAUGCUUAAUAAAUCCAGUUUUAGGUGAAUAAUUGACGCAAUGGAUACAUAGUAUCUUUGAUUGUUUGUAUACAUAGUAUAUAUAAUUAAUGGUUGUGUUUAUACUGAUUUCAUUUAAUUGUUUGACGUUAUUAUUGAUCAUUUGACAUAUACAUUAUAUAUGUAAUAGAAAGAGCACCGAAACACGAGGCUAUCUUAUUUGUACGAGGGGGCGUAGCCCCCGAGUAUUAAUCAGAUUGCCGAGUGUUUUGGUGUUCUUUCUCUUUUGUAUCAUAGUCAAACAUAAAAGCACGUUCCCUGUUGUCACAAUAUGAAACCCCGGCAAAAAUGAACCAAUGAACGAACAUCUGAAUAUGACAUUUCUGUCGCUUUCCCUUUCUCUGCCGUCACAAUAUGUAAACCCCAGCAAAAAUGAGCCAAUCAAUAGGCAUGCUCUGGAGUGCGGGUAACUAAUACCCGCACUCCAGUUAACGCACUGUGCAUGUAUAUGUAUACGAUUUAACCCUGACACAUUUUCAACAGAAAGGUCAAACUAUGAUACAAAGGUUAGAUUCUGCAUUGAUUAUUGAUUGAUUGAUAAAUCGUUGAUAUAUUGAUUGAUUGAUUUAUUGAGUGAUUAGUUGAUUCAUGGCUUUUUUGUUGAAUGGUUGUUUGUUUGCUAGUUAGUUGAAAACAUUGUUGCUUGGUUAAUUGAUUGAAUGAACGAACGAACAACGGAUAGACGGACGGACGAACGAACGAACGAACGAACGAAAAGAGAGUGGUUUUGACAUCAGUUGGGAAAAUGAAAUUCUAUCUUAAUACAUAUGUUUUUCUUUAUUUUUUGUAUUUAUGCAAAGUGUUAAUGUUGUCCUUAGAACACGUUUAGAAGAAAAUUUAUAUUCAUUAAACAAAUAUAAAGUA